rnacentral:tRNA from 2 species
UAGAAUGUAGUGUAAUGGUAGCACGGAGAAUUUUGAGUUCUUAGGUUUAGGUUCAAGUCCUAAGGUUCUAG